CACCACUCCAAUGGCACUUCCUUGUUUUAUGUUCCCAAAUCUCAUUUCCUUUCCCUGUUGUGUGGACUUGCCUGCCUCCGGGGAUUUGAAAUGCUCUCUGGAGAAGUAACCGCAGUCCUAUUUUAGUUCUGACUGACUUCUAAUCAAUCAGACCUUUCAAGCCGACUUGGCGCCGUCUCCUGAGAUGAGGGAGCCAUCGGAAUGGGCAGUGCAGGACUGCUGUCCCCACUGUGGCCCUGGGAAAUUGUGACACCACAAAUGCCACGUGUUGCGUUUACCGCUUCUGGUGGAAUGACUCCGGCUCUGAGGGGAGAAGAAUGAAAAUGUCCGAAUGUGGCAUUAAAUCGCUCAAUCCACCCACUUCUUCAGUCCGAAGCGUGUCAUCCAGCGUUCAUGUCACAAGCCCGAUCCAGUCUCU